rnacentral:rRNA from 1 species
AUACGGAGGGUGCGAGCGUUGUUCGGAAUCACUGGGCGUAAAGGGCGCGCAGGCGGUCUGUCAAGUCAGAUGUGAAAGCCCACGGCUCAACCGUGGACGUGCAUCUGAAACUGGCAGACUCGAGUACCGGAGGGGAAAGUGGAAUUCCCGGUGUAGAGGUGUAAUUCGUAGAUAUCAGGAGGAAUACCGGAGGCGAAGGCGACUUUCUGGACGGAUACUGACGCUGAGGCGCGAAAGCGUGGGGAGCGAACAGGAUUAGAAACCCUAGUAGUCC